UACGUAGGGUGCAAGCGUUAAUCGGAAUUACUGGGCGUAAAGCGUGCGCAGGCGGUUGUGCAAGACAGAUGUGAAAUCCCCGGGCUUAACCUGGGAACUGCAUUUGUGACUGGCGGGCUAGAGUAUGGCAGAGGGGGGGUAGAAUUCCACGUGUAGCAGUGAAAAUGCGUAGAGAUGUGGAGGAAUACCGAUGGCGAAGGCAGCCCCCCUGGGCUAACACUGACGCUCAUGCACGAAAGCGUGGGGAGCAAACAGG
rnacentral:rRNA from 1 species